AUUGAACGCUGGCGGCAUGCCUUACACAUGCAAGUCGAACGGCAGCAUGGAGAGCUUGCUCUCUGAUGGCGAGUGGCGAACGGGUGAGUAAUGCAUCGGAACGUACCGUGUAAUGGGGGAUAACGUAGCGAAAGUUACGCUAAUACCGCAUACGACCUGAGGGUGAAAGCAGGGGAUCGCAAGACCUUGCGUUAUACGAGCGGCCGAUGUCAGAUUAGCUAGUUGGUGAGGUAAAGGCUCACCAAGGCGACGAUCUGUAGCGGGUCUGAGAGGAUGAGCCGCCACACGGGGACUGAGACACGGCCCCGACUCCUACGGGAGGCAGCAGUGGGGAAUUUUGGACAAUGGGGGCAACCCUGAUCCAGCCAUGCCGCGUGAGUGAAGAAGGCCUUCGGGUUGUAAAGCUCUUUCGGCCGGGAAGAAAUCGCACAGGCUAAUACUCUGUGUGGAUGACGGUACCGGCAUAAGAAGCACCGGCUAACUACGUGCCAGCAGCCGCCGUAA
rnacentral:rRNA from 1 species